AUUGAACGCUGGCGGCAGGCCUAACACAUGCAAGUCGAGCGAGCGGCGGACGGGUGAGUAAUGUAUGGGGACUGCCCGAUAGAGGGGGAUAACUACUGGAAACGGUGGCUAAUACCGCAUACUAUCGGAUAACCCAUAUGGGAUUAGCUAGUAGGUAAGGUAAUGGCUUACCUAGGCGACGAUCACUAGCUGGUCUGAGAGGAUGAUCAGACAGACGGGUACUUAGACACGGCCCAGACUCCUACGGAGGCAGCAGUGGGGAAUAUUGCACAAGUGGCGCAAGCCUGAUGCAGCCAUGCCGCGUGUAUGAAGAAGGCCCUAGGGUUGUAAAGUACUUUCAGUCGGGAGGCGUUACCGACAGAAGAAGCACCGGCUAACUCCGUGCCAGUCGCCGCGGUAAUAC
rnacentral:rRNA from 1 species